ensembl:lincRNA Gm29561 predicted gene 29561
ACAGGGUGGGAAGGUUAACUAGGCAUAGUCAACUUUGCCUACUCUUCAUUUACCUUUUGGAAGAAAUCUCAGGCUUCCUCACAACCAAAGAACCUCUGUCUGACCCUACUCUCAGCCCCUGCUCUGGCCUCUUCUGACAAGGAAGAUGCUCAGGCAGGAUGCAGGCUCCGCACUUUGAGACUGGUGGAUUAGAAACCUUCGUCUAACCAGUGAGCUCUGCCCUUACCAGCUGCCCUUUAUUCACUGUUUCUAGGCCCAUAACUACUGAUUUGCUGUUGCACUGCAGAAUAUUCUAGGACAUUCAGAUUUACAUAUAUUUUUCUUCUGUCCUUUCUUGACAGGGUUUCUGUGUAGCCCUGACUGGCCUCGAACUCAGAAUGGCCUGCCUCUGGAGAUGAAGGCAUCCACCAUUCCCAUUUUUCUGUUUUUUGUUUUUUAAUGAGUGUGCUUUGUGUAUGGGGAAUGCACAUGAACAAGGACCCCAGAAGACAGCCUCAUCCCCAGGAACACCAUCUCCUUUCCUUGAGGGAGGGUCUCUCAUUGACCUCACCGACUGGGCUAGGCACUGAGCCCACGGGUUCUCUUGUCUCUGCCUCCCAGGCAGGUACUGGGGAUUUCAAGCAAACCACUU